rfam:Schistosoma mansoni, Puerto Rico, WGS project CABG01000000 data, contig: 0184
AUCCAUGUGACGAGCCCCAAAUAGGACGAAACGCGCUUUCUGGAU